AAAUUUAGUAGCAACGUGUUUGCAGUGGGGGAAUAAGUGUCAUGUCGUCUCCAGCACUUCUCGGCUGACUUUAAACUCUUCUCUCUCCCUCUCUCCACCUCCUCUCUCUCUCUCUCUCUCUCUCUCUUUCUCUGUGUAAACUCGGAGCGCAGCGCGGACCUCUUUUUGUCCACAGUGACUGGACGGAGCGGGACACACGGGCAGACAGAGAGCGCGCAGUCCGCGCUGCCUCUCCACAGUUUGACAUCCACGUUGAGUUCAUCAGCGCUGGAGAUGACUCGGACCUGUCUGUGGACGACUGGGGUCAUUCUUCUUCUCGCUGGUGUUAUGGAGGUUGGUGUGUGGGCCAACGAUGGGGACGCAGUGUUCAUCAGAGAAUACACUCUGAUCCGACGAGACCACCUCCCCGAAGAGCCUCUCCACGACGGCAGCCAAAAACCAGAAGACCCGAGCUCGCGAACGGCCCGAUCGGAAGAGGACAGAGACACGCUGUGGGAUGCUUGGGGCUCGUGGAGUGAAUGCUCUCGUACCUGUGGAGGAGGAGCUUCAUACUCUCUCAGGCGAUGCCUCAGCUCCAGGACCUGUGAAGGACAGAAUAUCAAAUAUCGCACAUGCAGUAAUGUGGACUGCCCUCCAGAUGCCGGUGAUUUCCGCGCCCAACAGUGUUCAGCUCAUGCAGAUGUGCGAUACCAGGGUCAGUACCAUGAGUGGCUGCCUGUGUACAACGAUCCCGACAACCCCUGCGCACUCAAAUGCAAAGCAAAGGGUUCCGGUCUCGUGGUGGAGCUGGCGCCCAAGGUGCUGGAUGGGACUCGCUGUUACACCGAGUCUUUAGACAUGUGCAUCAGUGGAGUCUGUCAGAUUGUCGGUUGCGAUCAUGAGCUGGGGAGCACAUCAAAAGAGGACAACUGUGGCGUCUGCAAUGGAGACGGCUCAUCCUGUCGACUUGUGCGAGGACACUACAAAUCCCAGCAUGCUUCAGGAAAAGCUGAGGAUACUGUUGUCGUCAUUCCCUAUAAGAGUCGUCAUGUUCGUCUAGUCCUGAAAGGCCCGGAUCACUUGUAUGUGGAGAGUAAGACUCUACAAGGGGUGAAAGGGGAAUUAGUCUUAGACACGUCAGGCCAGUACCUCUUGGAGAACACCACCUUGGACUACCAGCAACUUUCUGAUAAGGAGGUCCUGAGAAUCACUGGCCCACUUGGAGCAGACUUCACUGUCAAAGUAAGAACUUAUGUUAAGCAUUCUGAUACAUAUAUAUAUAUAUAUAUAUAUAUAUAUAUAUAUAUAUAUUUUUUUUUUUUUUGGUCUGUAGGUUACCAGCUGACCUCCGCAGAGUGCUUUGACCUUCGGAGUGGUCGAGUUGUUGUAGAUCAGUAUUGCCACUAUUACCCAGAAAACGUCAAACCUAAACCCAAACUGCAGGAGUGCAACAUGGAGCCCUGUCUGGCCGGUGAUGGCUACAAACAAAUUAUGCCGUAUGACCUCUACCACCCGCUGCCUCGAUGGGAGAGCAGUCCCUGGACGGCCUGCUCCAUGUCCUGCGGCGGGGGAAUCCAAAGUCGCUCGGUGUCUUGUGUGGAGGAAGACAUGCAGGGAACCAUUACUCCCACUGAGGAGUGGAAGUGCCUGUACUCUCCAAGGACGGCUAUCCUGCAGCCCUGCAACACCUUCGACUGCCCGACUUGGCUGGCACAGGAGUGGUCACCAUGCACAGUGACCUGUGGUCAGGGGUUGCGCUACAGGGUGGUGUUAUGUAUCGAUCACAGGGGACUCCAUGCUGGAGGCUGCAACCCCACCACCAAACCCCACAUCAAGGAGGAGUGUCUGGUGACUGUGCCCUGCUACAAGUCCAUAGAUUCACUCCCAGUUGAGGCAAAACCUGUGUGGCAUAAGCAGGCCAUAGAGCUGGAAGAGGAAGUCACAGUGACCGAGGAGCCGACCUUCAUUCCAGGGCCCUGGCAGCCCUGCAGCCGAACAUGCGGCGCUGGAACCCAGCAACGAACUGUCAAGUGCCAGGUGCUGCUCUCCUUCUCCCAGACUGUUGCUGACCUGCCCGACGACGAGUGUGAGGGGGUCAAACCUGCAACAAGUCAGCCCUGCUACCGUACUCCCUGCUCUGGCGUUUUGGCCCAAGGAAAUGGAAAUGAAAACGAAAACGAAGGGGAGACACCUGAAAGAGAGGAACUGCACGACUGGGAGUACGAGGGGUUCACGGAGUGCUCAGAGAGUUGUGGGGGAGGUGUACAAGAGGCUGUAGUCAUCUGCCUGAACAAGCAGACCAGGGAGGCAGCAGACCAGAGCCUGUGUGUGAGCUCCCGUCGGCCUCCACAACUCCUCCAGGACUGCAAAACUCAGCCCUGCCCGCCCAGGUGGGAAACAGGUGACUGGAGUUCAUGCUCUGCUACCUGCGGGGUUGGUCUGAGGACCCGCACCGUGGCUUGUACUCACCGACCUUCUAGGGACAGCAACCGAACUGAGGUUUUGAGGGUUGAAGAAUGUCAAAAUCCCAAGCCCAGCCCUUUCCAAGCUUGCAACCGAUUUGACUGCCCUCCCACGAAAUGUCAACCCCUCUGUGGUGGUGGAGUUCAAAAGAGGCAAGUCCUGUGCAAACAACGGUUGGCAGAUGGCAGCAUCCUGGAGCUGCCUGACACCUUCUGCUCUUCCAAGAUCCCUGCAAACCAGCAGCCCUGUGCCAAGCAGGAGUGCCCGCCGCAAUGGGUCACAACCAACUGGUCUGAGUGUUCAGUGACGUGUGGAAGCGGCAUUCAGAGACGUCAGACAGUUUGCAGAAAACAAGGCGACGAUCAGGCUGUAGACUCUAACAACUGUUCCCUGAAGGCCCAGCCAGUCAAAAUUCGUCCAUGCUCCCUCAGACUCUGUGACAGUAAGAGACCCCCUUUUUGGCUCUAUUGGCUUCAUUUUACACCUGAUCCUAGAAUACUGGCUCAGAGGAAGGUUUAUAUCCAGUGGAAGAAAAGCAAAAAGUUGCAGCUGGUAGUCGGAGGUUAUGCCUACCUCAUGCCUUGGACAACUGUGGUCCUUCGCUGCCCUACUCGCCACUUCCGAAAGGGCCACAUCCGGUGGUUGAAGGAAGGGAAGCCCUUGGUCGGCCUCCCACACCUCUCCGCAUCACUUGGAUCUGUAAAGAUUCAGCAGGUUCGUGCAUCUGAUGCCGGGGUGUACACGUGCGUUGCCGGCUGGGCGCGGGAACACCUGGUCCUACACAUUAUCGGCAGCAAGCAGAAACUCUCGGCUCCAGAUUCACGGCUCCUCAAAGGUGGACAACAAAACACUGGACGGGCAGGUGUGGCUCCGACGGGAGAAGGAUUUCAAGAGCUACCCAUCUCCCUCAACCAGUAUGACAAAAUUGUUGAGAAUUUGCUUGAACUCAAAGACUCUGCCCAAGAUGACAAAGACAUUAAUGACAAACCUCACUCCAGCGAAAAGAACAGGUCAAGCCUGGAGGGUGGGAGGGCCAAUGUAGAACUUUCCACUCCAGUUGUGCUUGUUGCUGAUACCCACAGGCUUGAUGAGCUCAUGCACAGCCUCUCCGAAGGCCUCAGAGGGCGACGGGGGGAACACCUCAUUGCUCAGUUGCUCAGCGAGCUCCUUAUGACACAAGGUGAAACCAACGAGUCCACUCUUCAUCCUCCAGAAAGUGCAGAAUCUUCCACACAAGGGCCUCUUCUUUAUAAACCAAGCGUCAAAGCUCAUGGAUCGAGGCCAAGAAACCCAAUAAUGGUCCAACACCCCAGGAAGGUUGGAGUGUUGCCAUCAUCUGAAAUGGUAGUACAAGUGGGGUUGCCAGCUUCGCUGCAGAAACCAGUUGCGAGUUUGGAGCUGAGAUGUGAGGCAGUGGGGAACCCUGAACCGUCACUGACCUGGACAAAGAACGGAAAAGAGUUGCAGUUUAACAGCAGAGUAGGCCUGUUGCCCACUGGCUCACUGAGGAUUCGGGCACCAAACAAAGCGGACGAGGGUUUGUACACCUGCACUGCCAGGAAUCGAUAUGGAUCGACGUCUCUUUCGUCUUGGCUGCAGAUUGCAGGUAAAGUCGAUGAACGCAGAAGCUCAAUAGUUAUUGUUUUUUGUUUGUUUUUUUGUGGAUGGAUCAGGUGGCGAGCAGACUUUUGGUCACCGUGUUCAGCCACUUGUGGAGGUGGUUCACAGACCAGGAGUGUCCGCUGCAUUAAAGGUCCAGAGGGCAGAUCGACAGAGGUGGAGAGCCGGCACUGUCGCGACGCAGGCCGGAGACCCUCUGACUCAAGGCUAUGCAACCUUCUGCCCUGUGCCAGAUGGGCCACCACCUCCUGGGGGCCGUGUCACGGUCAGUGUGUGGGUCCAAGUAUGGCCACACAGCAUCGCCACGUUUUCUGCCAAGACACAAAUGGAACCAAAGUGAGCUACAGGAUGUGCAGUGGACUCCACAGGCCCAGCUCACUGAAGAAUUGCUCCACAGUGGCCUGUGCGCUCCAUUGGCGUGCGGGUCCAUGGACGCAGUGCACCGCCACAUGUGGGCGCCAUGGUUUCCAGUCACGCCAGGUGACCUGUUUGCACCGUCGAACUGGCAGGACCGCACGUGAACAUCACUGCAUGUGGAGACCUCGCCCUCCAAGCUGGCAGCGAUGCAAUAUCCUGUCCUGUGGCAGAGGAGAGUGCAGAGACAGCACGAGGUACUGCGAGAGGGUUCGACAGCUGGAGCUCUGCCCGCUGCCCCAAUUUAAGAGCCGUUGCUGUCAGUCCUGCCGAAACACCUGA
ensembl:lncRNA